AUUUUUAUUUUCAGUCAAAAUAAAAUUACACCGACGGUUCGUUCCUAAUUCCCACAUCCCACAGCUCUCGCCCCCAUCUUCCUCGGAGAACCUUCUCUCUCCACAUGGCUGGAUGCGAGCGGCUGCUCCGAUCAACAUCGCGACGGUUUCGGCGAGUUGAUUCGGCUGCGGGAGGAUUCGCGGCGUGGUGGGUGGCCUUGGCGGCGUGCAACACUUGGUGGCCUGGUCAACGGUAGGCUACACGGCGGGCGGAGGGAGAGGAACGGCUCGCCCACCUGCAACCUCGUCUCCAGCAGGAAUCGAGUAGGGCCAUCGCUCCCCCACCUCACUCUCCACCAACAGGCUGCUAGUACUUGAUGAUUGCCACUCGUACGUGAGUACCACACCAGCCACCUGCAACGAGAUCCCCUAUCUCCAGAUCCAAGUUACCUGAAUUUCAUAUGCCUCCCAAGGUAUCACCACGAGAAGGAGAAGCAAGGGGAAGCUACAUUUCCAAGCAGAUGCCAACUGUUGCAAUUGGAGUCUAUAACUUGUUCUCAUGGAAUUGGUGGUGGCAGUCGUCUCAAAAAGACAGUGAGUGCAAGGCGCUGGUUUCCUAUGAUGUUCUGUUAUGCAACACCGUUUUGCUUUUCAUUCGUCGUCCAACAGAUCAAAAGUAGUCUCAGAAGUAAUGAAGGCUGUGCUUGACGCCUGUAAAUUAUCUGAUUGACGAAUUCUGAAUCAUGUGGUCCUGUGGAGACAUUUUUCCAAGUUCCCUUGAUAUACUAUUAAACCUGGUAGGUAUAAUUGUAUAAGUACACCUAUAAGCGUCAUCUGAUAUAGUGGAUGCUCUCAGUCAAUGACUAUACUUAUUGUCGCC